AAGAAAUACCCCCGCCCCAAGGGAGUAGCAUUAUUAGGAGUGGUGGCUUUGUCAGAGUGGGUGUGGCUUUGUUGGAGGAAGUGUGUCACUGUGGAGGCGGAUUUUGAGGUCUCAAACCAUGCCCAUUGUCUCAGAUCACUUCCUGUUGCUUUCAAGUCAAGAUGUGGGAUGCUCAGUUACUUCUGCACCAUGUCUGCCUGCAUGCCACCAUGUCCCACCAUGAUGAUAAUGGAGUAAACCUCUGAAAAUCCUCACUGGGAUAGUGGUGUGCUUCUCAGGCAAUUAGAAGACGAUCUGCUGUGUGGUAUGCCGCAUCUCCAGAGCAGAAACUUCAGCUGCGGCCAGUGCCGAGCCACCAACUGAACAGUUUAUAGCAUCUGCACACAGUUAACAAACGGCUCCUGCACGCCUGGAAGGGACAGCUCCAGGCCACCAUUGAGUCUGCGGCAGAACCUCUAAUGAAACUAAUUGAUAUUUCUGCACCCAAACACGUAAAUAUUCACACUAAUUGGCAUAAAACGGUUUCAUAUCCAUCGAGGUCAGAUCUUUGCCUACAAAUGAGUCAACCACCAAUUAACUGCAAAGGAGCCUUCUGCCUACAGGGAUCCUUGGGUUUCACACUGCAGGAGAAGGAUGAUGGGUCUGCGUCACUCUGCAGAUUUGGGGUAAUGUGCAAAAUUCUCUCAAAGUUUUGUGCAUAGUGGUGAUAAUGAUUUUGAGUGAAAUGGUCUUCAAGGUCCCUUCGAGUCUUAGAAAUCCAUAGCCAAACUGUGGAGGAAUAGACUGGGCCUGGUGAUGAGCACCUGUGAUCCCAGCUCUGGAGGGGUGGGGAACUGAGGCACGAGGAUCAAAGACUGAAGGCCAGCGUCACGAAUAAUAAAAACACAGAGAUAUUGUGGUUCAAA